UCUUUCCUUGUUCAGCAGAGCAUAUACUAAAAUUGGAAUGAUACAGAGAAGAUUAGCAUGGCCCCUGCACAAGGAUGACGCACAAAUUCAUGAAGUGCUCCAUAUUUUU
rnacentral:snRNA from 1 species